rnacentral:sRNA from 1 species
CCUGUGGCAUCUGCCCAGGUAAGAUAUGCUGCUAACACCAUUCCCAACACUGUGGCUAGACAGAGGCCUGAUGGGCACUGGAGAAAAAAUCAAGUGUGCCACACAUCAGCAUCUAUGAAGCCCUCUAUGAAGGUGGUUCUAUCUGUUGAUCACAAUAAAAAAGCGAUUGUGGAUGAAUUCA